UGGGGAAUUUUGGACAAUGGGGGAAACCCUGAUCCAGCCAUCCCGCGUGUGCGAUGAAGGCCUUCGGGUUGUAAAGCACUUUUGGCAGGAAAGAAACGUCGCGGGUUAAUACCCCGCGAAACUGACGGUACCUGCAGAAUAAGCACCGGCUAACUACGUGCCAGCAGCCGCGGUAAUACGUAGGGUGCAAGCGUUAAUCGGAAUUACUGGGCGUAAAGCGUGCGCAGGCGGUUCGGAAAGAAAGAUGUGAAAUCCCAGAGCUUAACUUUGGAACUGCAUUUUUAACUACCGGGCUAGAGUGUGUCAGAGGGAGGUGGAAUUCCGCGUGUAGCAGUGAAAUGCGUAGAUAUGCGGAGGAACACCGAUGGCGAAGGCAGCCUCCUGGGAUAACACUGACGCUCAUGCACGAAAGCGUGGGGAGCAAACAGGAUUAGAUACCCUGGUAGUCCACGCCCUAAACGAUGUCAACUAGCUGUUGGGGCCUUCGGGCCUUGGUAGCGCAGCUAACGCGUGAAGUUGACCGCCUGGGGAGUACGGUCGCAGGAUUAAAACUUAAAUGAAUUGACGGGGUCAUAGCUG
rnacentral:rRNA from 1 species